rnacentral:rRNA from 1 species
UCAGGACGAACGCUGGCGGCGUGCCUAAUACAUGCAAGUCGAACGGUCUUUCUAUGGAAGCUUGCUUCCACUGAGAAGAUAGUGGCGAACGGGUGAGUAACACGUGGGUAACCUGCCCAUAAGAGGGGGAUAACAUCCGGAAACGGGUGCUAAUACCGCAUAGUUUUCUUGAUCGCAUGAUCGGGAAAGGAAAGACGGCCUUUGUGCUGUCGCUUAUGGAUGGACCCGCGGCGUAUUAGUUAGUUGGUGGGGUAACGGCUCACCAAGACGAUGAUACGUAGCCGACCUGAGAGGGUGAUCGGCCACAUUGGGACUGAGACACGGCCCAAACUCCUACGGGAGGCAGCAGUAGGGAAUCUUCCGCAAUGGACGAAAGUCUGACGGAGCAACGCCGCGUGAGUGAAGAAAGGUUUUCGGAUCGUAAAACUCUGUUGUCAGAGAAGAACAAGUUGGAGAGUAACUGCUCCAGCCUUGACGGUAUCUGACCAGAAAGCCACGGCUAACUACGUGCCAGCCGCCGC